AACCAGCACCUCAAGUGGUCAGGAUGAUUAUUGGGCCUAAAGCAUCCGUAGCCUGUUCUGUAAGUUUUCGGUUAAAUCUAUGCGCUCAACGUAUAGGCUGCCGAAAAUACUGCAGAACUAGGGAGUGGGAGAGGUAGACGGUACUCGGUAGGAAGGGGUAAAAUCCUUUGAUCUAUUGAUGACCACCUGUGGCGAAGGCAGCUAACUAGGCCUGGACUGACGCUGAGGGACGAAAGCGUGGGGAGCGAACAGG
rnacentral:rRNA from 1 species